AAGUCGUAACAAGGUUUCCGUAGGUGAACCUGCGGAAGGAUCAUUGCCGAUCGGACGCCACGCUGAGCUUUCGCGAGCUCUUCGUGGUGUCUUUUUCGACCAACCCAUGUGAACUCGUUUUAUGUGUUUAACAAAGCCCGCUCACGCACAUUCGUGUGUGUGUGCGGCUUUGUCCAAACAUUUUAUAACAAACCACAUCAUAUUGAACUCUUGACUGAGACAAUACAGGUCACGCCUAAAAAACGUUGAUCUCAAAAACCUAACCAUUACAACUUUUAACAACGGAUAUCUUGGCUCGC
rnacentral:misc_RNA from 1 species